GAGUAGAAAUUGGUGUUGCCCAGAAAGAGCCCGUUGUCUCAGCACUGGAGUGCAGUCAAUCCUCAUUAUACAGCAGAGCUGAUUUUUCACAUUCUUCCUACCCAGCCGUGGAUGGAGAGCUCUCCUUGAGUUCUAGGUGAUGUAGAUGAGCAUGCAAGGAGGAAAAGGGUAGCUUCCCUUGAGAGAAUAGUGGAAGGAGGAGAUGGAGAGCACAAAAGUGACUCAUCCUCCAACACAUUCCACACACUGCCUGGUCCCUUUGCUCCAGGAGAGGUGCUGGCAGGCUCUCUGCUGUGGGAAGUCAUCCAUCUUUCCUGCACAGAGGAAGGGAAAUUGGCAUUUCUGUGGCUCCUGUAAAUAUAUCCUUUGCUUUACACAACAUAAGAAUGAAGGCACAGUGAGGAAGAUGGGUAAAGUUUUGUAAUUUAAUAUGAUGCAUUUUUGUGAUUAAUAAUACACGGUAUUUGUUACAAUGGAUUUGAUCAGGAAAACAGAACCUUUUGGAGUCCUAUGGAAUUAGGGUUUGGUUUUUUCUUUUCUUUCCUUUUUUGUUCUUUGUUGAGAAUUGGACCUUGAACAAUUGUAGGAGAAGCUAGGGGAACAAUGGUCUGGGAGGCUCUGGUUGGAGGCUCAGACACAGCAGAUAAUUGUUCUCAGACAAUUAGAGCACAGCAGAGUUAUGGGGAAGAAGUUCAUGCUCUGGUUGCUCUGUUGCUGGAGUUCAACCUGAUGCCACUGUCAGACCAUUUGCAAAAUGGAGAACAAGAAGCCCUUGAGAGGGAGAAACUCGGGGGCUCCCAAGAACAAACUGGGACCCACAAGGGCAAAGUGGGCACCCACACUUCUCUCUUACUGCAUCUGACCCACAGACCUGCAGAAGAAACUGGAGUGCUUGGCUAAGGACUAGCCUACUAACUUGGCCCAGGACCCAGAGAAACUCAGGGAGUCAGGCAGAUACUGGAGGAGCCUAGAGCCUACACAGUUGCUGCCCUGUACCAUGGGAUGAGGCACUAGACCAGCAACCAGCCCUCAGAAGCACAGGGCGGUGGCCCCCGUUCCUUAAUUAAAGAAAUGGAUCACAGGUUGAAAGGAUGGCCAUGUGCUAGAAAUGAUAACUACAAAACAGUCAACUCUGAGACCCUCCUGUGAGGUUGGCCAAUGUCAAGGAUGGGAAGGAAUGGCUUGGCAUCCAGACAAACAACCGAAGUAGCCAAGAGUUGGAAAAGACCAAGUUCCUGGAUGUGGCUGCUCCUCCACUGCUGAAUUCUUCUAGGCUUUGCAUAACUACAAAAAUUCAUGGAGCGGGUUCCUGUACUAAGACUGCUUGGAAAAUUUAUGGACUCUUUUGGGAAAACAUUCUGGCUUUUUUCUAAAUAAGGAGAAAAUACCAGAAUGAUUAAUCCAGGUGAGGUCUCGCAUGAUCUGUGAAUUAACUCUUUCCCAUUUCUCUUUUAUUCGAUAGUAAUGUGGACUUGUUGAUAACAUGAAUUCAAGUCUGGAUUCCUCUUGCAUUCUGCCACAAACAUCCUCUCCUAAAUAAAA